UGGUCAAGUUAUUAAGGGUGCAGGGCGGAUGCCUUGGCACUAGGAGCCGAUGAAGGACGUGAUAAGCUGCGAUAAGCUUCGGGGAGUUGCACGUAAACUUUGAUCCGAAGAUUUCCGAAUGAGGAAACUCACUUAGAGUAAUGUCUAAGUAUCAUUAAGUGAAUACAUAGCUUAAUGAGGGGAACUCAGGGAACUGAAACAUCUAAGUACCUGAAGGAAGAGAAAGAAAUUCGAUUCCGUAAGUAGCGGCGAGCGAACGCGGAUUAGCCCAAACCAAUAAAGUUUUCUUUAUUGGGGUUGCGGACAUAUCAUAACGAAGAGGUAUCGUAAUUGAAGAGGUUUGGAAAGACCCACCACAGAAGGUAAUAGUCCUGUAUGUUAAACGAGAAGACUUUAGAUAUGAUCCAGAGUACCACGGGACACGUGAAACCCUGUGGGAAGCAGGAGGGACCACCCUCCAAGGCUAAAUACUACCUAGUGACCGAUAGCGUAUAGUACCGUGAGGGAAAGGUGAAAAGAACCCCGGGAGGGGAGUGAAAUAGAACCUGAAACCCUGCACUUACAAGCUGUGGAAGCACAUUUCUUGUGUGACCGCGUACUUUUUGUAGAACGGGCCAACGAGUUACGUUAAGUAGCAAGGUUAAGCACUUAAGGUGUGGAGCCGUAGCGAAAGCGAGUUUUAACUGAGCGUUCAGUUACUUGACGUAGACCCGAAACCGGGCGACCUACCCAUGAGCAGGAUGAAGCGAAAGUAAAAUUUCGUGGAGGUCCGAACCCACGAGCGUUGAAAAGCUCGGGGAUGACUUGUGGGUAGCGGUGAAAUUCCAAUCGAGCCCGGAGAUAGCUGGUUCUCCCCGAAAUAGCUUUAGGGCUAGCCUCAAGGUGAGAGAUACGGAGGUAGAGCACUGAAUGUCCUAGGGGGUAUUGCACCUACCGAAGACUAUCAAACUCCGAAUGCCGUCAUCUUAUACUUGGGAGUCAGACUGUGGGUGAUAAGAUUCAUAGUCGAAAGGGCAACAGCCCAGAUCGUCAGCUAAGGUCCCUAAAUGUAAGUUAAGUGGUAAAGGAUGUGGGAUUGCACAGACAACCAGGAUGUUGGCUUAGAAGCAGCCACUCAUUCAAAGAGUGCGUAAUAGCUCACUGGUCGAGUGAUCCUGCGCCGAAGAUUUCCGGGGCUAAAACUUACUACCGAAGCUACGGCAUCAGUAAUGAUGGGUAGGGGAGCUUCCCAUACGGGUUGAAGCAUGACCGUAAGGACAUGUGGACAGUAUGGGAGUGAGAAUGUUGGCAUGAGUAGCGAGAUGUGGGUGAGAAUCCCACAGGCCGUAAACCCAAGGUUUCCAGGGGAAGGUUCGUCCGCCCUGGGUUAGUCGGGACCUAAGCUGAGGCCGAAAGGCGUAGGUGAUGGACAACAGGUUGAUAUUCCUGUACUACCGAUAACCGUUUGAGAGAAGGGAUGACACAGUAGGAUAAGCUAAGCACACUGUUGGUUAUGUGUGCCCAAGCAUUGAGGCAGUCAAAGUAGGCAAAUCCGCUUUGAUAAUGCUGGGAUGUGAUGGGGAGCGAAAUUUAGUAGCGAAGUAGCUGAUUUCACACUGUCAAGAAAAGUCUCUAUCGAGGUUAAAGGUACCCGUACCGCAAACCGACACAGGUGGGUGAGGAGAGUAUCCUAAGGCCAGCGAGAGAACUGUUGUUAAGGAACUCGGCAAAAUGACCCCGUAACUUAGGGAUAAGGGGUGCCACCAUCAGGUGGCCGCAGAGAAUAGGCCCAAGCGACUGUUUACCAAAAACAUAGGUUUCUGCUAAGUCGCAAGACGAUGUAUAGGAGCUGACGCCUGCCCGGUGCUGGAAGGUUAAGGGGAUCUGUUAGAGCAAUCGAAGCAGUGAACUUAAGCCCCAGUAAACGGCGGCCGUAACUAUAACGGUCCUAAGGUAGCGAAAUUCCUUGUCGGGUAAGUUCCGACCCGCACGAAAGGCGUAACGAUUUGGGCACUGUCUCAACAACAGACUCGGUGAAAUUGUAAUUCCGGUGAAGAUGCCGGAUACCUGCGACAGGACGGAAAGACCCCAUGGAGCUUUACUGUAGCUUGACAUUGGGUCUUGGUACUACAUGUACAGGAUAGGUGGGAGGCUUUGAAACCAGGACGCCAGUUUUGGCGGAGCCAUCCUUGGGAUACCACCCUUGUAGUACUGGGACUCUAACCAUAGGCCAUGAAUCUGGUCUUGGGACACUGUCAGGUGGGCAGUUUGACUGGGGCGGUCGCCUCCCAAAAGGUAACGGAGGCGCUCAAAGGUUCUCUCAGUACGGUCGGAAAUCGUACGUAGAGUGUAAAGGCAAAAGAGAGCUUGAUUGCAAGACAUACAGGUCGAGCAAGGAUGAAAAUCGGACUUAGUGAUCCGGUGGUUCUGCGUGGAAGGGCCAUCGCUCAACGGAUAAAAGCUACCCUGGGGAUAACAGGCUUAUCUCCCCCAAGAGUCCACAUCGACGGGGAGGUUUGGCACCUCGAUGUCGGCUCAUCACAUCCUGGGGCUGUAGUAGGUCCCAAGGGUUGGGCUGUUCGCCCAUUAAAGUGGUACGCGAGCUGGGUUCAGAACGUCGUGAGACAGUUCGGUCCCUAUCCGUCGCAGGCGUAGGAAAUUUGAGAAGACCUGUCCUUAGUACGAGAGGACCGGGAUGGACGUACCUCUGGUGUACCAGUUGUCCUGCCAAGGGCAUGGCUGGGUAGCUAUGUACGGAAUGGAUAAGCGCUGAAAGCAUCUAAGCGCGAAGCCAACUUCAAGAUAAGAUUUCCCACCGCAAGGGUAAGACCCCAGAAAGACUAUCUGGUUGAUAGGUCGAAGGUGUAAGUGCAGCAAUGUAUUUAGCUUAUCGACACUAAUAGGUCGAGGACUUGACCAAU
rnacentral:rRNA from 1 species